rnacentral:rRNA from 1 species
GACGAACGCUGGCGGCGUGCUUAACACAUGCAAGUCGAACGGAAAGGCCCUGCUUUUGUGGGGUGCUCGAGUGGCGAACGGGUGAGUAACACGUGAGUAACCUGCCCUUGACUUUGGGAUAACUUCAGGAAACUGGGGCUAAUACCGGAUAGGAGCUCCUGCUGCAUGGUGGGGGUUGGAAAGUUUCGGCGGUUGGGGAUGGACACGCGGCUUAUCAGCUUGUUGGUGGGGUAGUGGCUUACCAAGGCUUUGGCGGGUAGCCGGCCUGAGAGGGUGACCGGCCACAUUGGGACUGAGAUACGGCCCAGACUCCUACGGGAGGCAGCAGUGGGGAAUAUUGCACAAUGGGCGGAAGCCUGAUGCAGCAACGCCGCGUGCGGGAUGACGGCCUUCGGGUUGUAAACCGCUUUCGCCUGUGACGAAGCGUGAGUGACGGUAAUGGGUAAAGAAGCACCGGCUAACUACGUG